rfam:Bacterium TMED88 isolate TMED88 MHASMcontig_369914, whole genome shotgun sequence.
GCGGGUAUAGCUUAGAUGGUUAAAGCGCUAGAUUGUGGCUCUGGAGAUACGGGUUCAAUUCCCGUUAUUCGCC